GGAGUGGCUCGGACGGUCGCGAGGUGUACGAUGCAUCUCGAGGAAAGUCCGGGCUGCGUAGAGUAAGGAUGCCGGGUAACGCCCGGUGGGGGCGACCCUGAGGAUAAGUGCCACAGAAAAAAGACCGCCGGUUGGGUUCAUUCCUCUCCGGUAAGGGUGAAAUGGUGCGGUAAAAGCGCACCGCUCUGCACGGUAACGGGCGGAGGCAUAGGCAAACCCCAUCCGCAGCAAGGCCAAAUAGGGGAGCGUAUGGUGUUACUCGCAUCUGCUCCCGGGUUGGCUGCUAGAGCCGCCGGGCAACCGUCGGCGUAGAUGAAUGAUCGUCUCCCUUCUCUCAAGGAAGGCAGACAAAACCCGGCUUACAGAGCCACUCCGUUU
rnacentral:RNase_P_RNA from 1 species